CGUGGAUCCUCGCCUCCUUCCCGGCCGGCCGCUUCUUGUUCUGCGAAUAGGCCACCACGGUUCGUCAUUCUUCAGGAUCCAGUAAUGGAGGGUAGCAGUGCGACGUCUCCUCUAGGAGAGCCCUCAAUUCCAAUGAUCGCAGCAUGUGCACCAGCACUAUCAGCCAUGGAAUCGGUCAACAGUGUUCAAAAUCAUGAUUUCAGCGAUGCAACGUCAUUCACAAAAAUUAAUUCCCCAAUGCUUCUCAUUGAUGACUCCAGUACACCGAAAAAAAAGAAUCAUUCUCUAAAGAGGGUUCUUUGUAUAAACCCCAGUGUGACGAGGAAUUGAAGCCAAAAGUAGGGAUGAUAUUUGAUGACAUUGCCUCGGUGCUGGAAUUUUACAAGACAUAUGCACACAAUGUCAGAUUUGGUGUGCGUCUUGGACAACAGAGGGUCGUAGAUAAUGUGCUUCAAUGGAAACGUUUCCUGUGUGCAAAAGAAGGCUUCCGUCCUGAGAAAGGUA